rnacentral:lncRNA from 1 species
GAAAAAUAUCCACAGCCCAACUCUGACAUGACCAGCUUGGCCAAAGGCAGAACUACACCAACCAAAAACACGACAGAGAGAGGAGAUGGACACCCACAUUUAUUCUAAGCACAGCGCAUUGACAUGAAGGCAGAAACACGAAAGUCUCUCUUGCCAUCAGCAGAACGCCACCAAUCCCACUCAGGUCCGUCCCUUGCCGUCAGUCUCUGGGGGGGGGUCCCCACUUUCUCCCUCUGUAGGAGGGCUCUGAGGGCCGCCAGCAUCUGCCCCGCCUUCUGGCAGCAGCUCCAGGGCUUCCUCACCAAGCACACGUCUCACCUUCUCCCCUUUGGCUGCCAGGAUCUCCUCGAUAUUCCUCUUGCCCUGCAGGUCGGAGAACCAGCCCAGGUUGUCGGCGAUCACGUGAUGGCUGUGGCAGCCGGGGCACGUGACGAUGACGACGCCGCGGCUGUACGCCAGGCGGGAGAUGUUCUGCGCCGUGCGGCGCCGGCACACCUUGCAGGUGUACACCAGGCGGUAAUGCGACGGCUGCAGCCGCCCCACGCUGUCCGGCGGUGCGGUGCACGCGUGGCGCGGCGCCGGGCGCUGCUGUGGAGGCGCUGAGGCGCUGAGCGCGGCGCGCACCGCCGCCCGCCCCAAGCGCCGCAACAUGGCGGCCGCGCAUGCGCAGAAGGGGGCGGCGCUGACGCUGCGCGGCCGGUCCCACAGAGACCGCCUUCCCCAUGCGUACGUUGACGGCACCGCUUUAAAAACCCAGAGCUGUUUAUUGACGGAUCCAGCUGCAAACUCGAAGCUCGGCCGGCCCCUAGCUGCCCUCGGUGUCCGUGUUGUCGCUGCCCGUGCUCGGCUCCCAGUCGGCCUCGGGGCGGCGGCCCGCGGGCGCUCUGCGCAGGGCGCGCUUCCUGGAAACGGGAAUGCGUGAAACGGAGCCCGACGGGAACGGAGCGCGGGAUGGGGGGGGGGGGCGGCGGGAUGCGGCCCGACCUGCG